UACAGAGGUCCCAAGCGUUGUUCGGAUUCACCGGGCGUAAAGGGUGCGUAGGCGGUGAGGUAAGUCGGAUGUGAAAUCUCCAAGCUCAACUUGGAAAUGGCAUUGGAAACUACCUCGCUAGAGGAUCGGAGGGGGGACUGGAAUACUUGGUGUAGCAGUGAAAUGCGUAGAUAUCAAGUGGAACACCAGUGGCGAAGGCGAGUCCCUGGACGAUUCCUGACGCUGAGGCACGAAAGCUAGGGGAGCAAACAGG
rnacentral:rRNA from 1 species